rnacentral:rRNA from 1 species
CCCUUAGAUGUUCUGGGCCGCGCGCGCGCUACACUGAUGCAUUCAACGAGCCUAGCCUUGACCGAGAGGUCCGGGUAAUCUUUGAAACUGCAUCGUGAUGGGGCUAGAUUAUUGCAAUUAUUAAUCUUCAACGAGGAAUGCCUAGUAAGCGUGAUUCAUCAAAUCGCGUUGAUUACGUCCCUGCCCUUUGUACACACCGCCCGUCGCUCCUACCGAUUGAGUGUGUUGGUGAGGAGUUCGGAUUGGCUCUUAGUGGUGGUUCGCCACCACCUAGAGCUGAGAAGUUCUCCAAACCGCCCCACUUAGAGGAAGGAGAAGUCGUAACA